rnacentral:rRNA from 1 species
GAUGAACGCUGGCGGCGUGCCUAAUACAUGCAAGUCGAACGGGAGUUUUGUAUUCGUACAAUGCUCUAGUGGCGAACGGGUGAGUAACGCGUUGGUGACCUGCCCCGAAGAGAGGGACAACAGUUCGAAAGGACUGCUAAUACCUCAUGUGGUCGUAAGGGUUAGAGGCCUUACGUCUAAACGGAGUAAUUCGCUUCGGGAGGGCCUGCGUCCCAUCAGCUUGUUGGUAGGGUAAUGGCCUACCAAGGCGACGACGGGUAGGGGACCUGAGAGGGUGACCCCCCACAAUGGCACUGAAACACGGGCCAUACACCUACGGGUGGCAG